rnacentral:precursor_RNA from 1 species
GCUGUGUAUUAUAAAACAUACAUAAGUUUGUAUUUUUGUAUUACAUGGCCC